GGAAGGAUCAUUAACACGUUCCUUGAACGUAAGCCCAAAACAAAAACCGUCUCGUCGUGGUGUCGGACUGCAAGUCUAACGCGGCGAGGCAAAUUUUACCCAGAGUACCGUCUGUACAACAAGUUUUUUGUUGCUUGAUUUUUCGGGCACUUGUGCCUCGGAAAAUCAAAAAAUAAAUAAAACAAAACAACUCUUAGCAACGGAUAUCUAGGCUCUCGUAUCGAUGAAGAACGCAGCGAAAUGCGAUACGUAAUGCGAAUUGCAGAAUUCAGUGAAUCAUCAAAUCUUUGAACGCAACUUGCGCUCUUGGGUUACGCCCGGGAGCAUGCCUCUCUGAGUAUCACCUUCACAACAACUCGGCUGCGUGCCGGUGAAUGAGCGUCUUGCGGGCUGUUUUCUGCAGCUUCAAGUUGUCUUCAAGUUGUGCGUGAGCUGCUGUGCCUGGUGACGAAACUCGCUUAGGGCUGCUCAUGUGCGGUAGUCGUCUUUGUACGAAUCCUCACAUUGGGAUGUGGUCAGAGUUUUUGAUCCUGCUGGCUGGCAAACGAAAAACAGGAAAAUUUAGUGGGAGCGUUCGCGCCACCACAACCCUUUUGAUCUCAGAUGAAGCAGGAUUACCCGCCGAAUUUAAGCAUAUUAUUAAGCGGAGGAAAAGAAACUAACCAGGAUUCCCCUAGUAACGGCGAGUGAAGCGGGAAUUGCUCAACCUGAAAAUCGUCGUGCCAAGCGGCAUGUUCGGAUUGUGGGCUAGAGGCACCUUAUCAGCAAGUGGCCCGGGUACAAGUCUUUUGGAACAAGGUAUCACAGAGGGUGAGAAUCCCGUCUCUGAUCCGGGGUCCGCUGCGUACGAGGGGUGCUAACAGAGUCGAAUAGCUUGGGAAUGCUGUUCUAAUUGGGUGGUAAAUUUCAUCUAAAGCUAAAUACCGACGAGAGACCGAUAGCAAACAAGUACCGCGAGGGAAAGAUGAAAAGAACUUUGAAAAGAGAGUUAAAAAGUACUUGAAAUUGCUAAGAGGUAAGCACUGGAAACCAGUAGGGCACGGCACAUAUUCCCGCCUGGCACUUUGCCCGGUGUUGUUCAGGACCGCAAGGCCUGGAUGGCGCUGUCGCUUGGUGUCAGGUGGCCCCAGUGUGUCGGGUAUGUCAGCGUCGGUUUUGGUUGGAGCAGAAUGCUGCUGGCAAGGUCGGUUGUGCCUUCGGGCGCAACCACUAACAUGGCCGGUGGUGCCUAUACUCCGACUCGGAGACCGAGGACAUGGCAACGCACGCCUGCGGCUGCGUGCCCCGUUCCUGCCGCUGGCCGGUGUCACCAGAACAAAGUUCUGGUGGUGUCGCGCCGUGUGGUACUGGGUGGAGGCACGACAUGUGCGUUCGCGAUGCUGACAAAAUGGUUUUCAAUGAAUCGUCUUGAAACACGGACCAAGGAGUCUAACAUAUAUGCGAGUAUUUGGGUGCACAAAACCCUGAUGCGGAAUGAAAGUGAAGGCAAACCUCGUUGUUUGCUGAGGUAGGAACCGUCGGUUCGUAGCCGGCGGGGCACUAUCGACCGAUCGCUCACUUGUGAGAGAUUCGAGUAAGAGCAUAUCUGUUGGGACCCGAAAGAUGGUGAACUAUGCCUGAGCAGAUCGAGGCCAGGGGAAACCCUGGUGGAGGAUCGUAGCGAUACUGACGUGCAAAUCGUUCGUCUGACUUGGGUAUAGGGGCGAAAGACUAAUCGAACCAUUUAGUAGCUGGUUCCCUC
rnacentral:misc_RNA from 1 species